GUGCUCGCUUCAGCAGCACAUAUACUAAAAUUGGAGCCACACAGAGAAGAUUAGCAUGGUCCCUGUGCAAGGAGGACACGCAAAUUCAUGAAAUGUUCUAUAAUUUU